UGAAAAUUUGCGAGUUUCGCAGGAUUCAAUUUGCCAACUGCAAGCAUAUAAGGCUUCUUUCCAGCAUUUAAAAUCAUUUUUCUAAGUUGAUUCAAAACAUGUAAAUAUCGAUGUACUCCUAAAGUACCUAUAACAAUUCCAAUGACUCCUGCAUCUCGACAUCUUUGAACCAAGGCAUACCUUCGUCGAAGCUUAGCACCCGUGAAAGAUGAUUCUUCAACUAUUUUAUUCGACAAUGGAUCAAAGGACAAAAACUGAUUAACCAAAGAAUAAUGAGACAUAAGAAUUGAAGACAAAGUUGGAGAAUCUGGUCCAAUAUAAAGCAAAGUCAUAUCUUGCAAAGACAGCGACUUCGGUAACGAAUAAGUUCUGCCAGGAAUAGUAUAGGAAGUAGAUGCCUCUUCUAAGUUCGGCUCAAUUCUCUCUUUAAGGUGUGAUUCAUAUACAUUUUGGUAGCCAAGAGUUUUCAAGGACUUAAGGAUUGAGUCUUGCGCAUAAUACCAACGAGUGUCACUAACAAGUAAAAUAUUUUGAUCCAAAGGUAUCGUUAAGCAUUUUUCCAAUUUAUGAAGAUUAAUAGGUAAUCUUCCAAAAACAUAAAGGACAGGAAGUCGAGAGGUCCUAAUAAUAUUAUCUGUUAGCAACACAAAAUUGCAAAGAUUAACUUACGGCGAUAAACACGCUCUUCCAUAAUGAACGAUAGCAUCUGCAGACAUAUGCUCAGCAGCUACCUCAUCAACACAACAGCUACCAUAAUUUGUGUCUGCUAAAAUCUGAACGUUUGCUUCAACUAAAUUCGUGAGGAUAGAAGCCACUUUUCCAGAAUCGGCUAGGUGUUCAUCAGGAAAUUGAAGAGCAACCUGUAAAAAUAGUUAAUAGUCAAAUCGCUAUGUCAAUUGUAUAAAUUUUUCCAAAAAAAAAAAAAAACAUACCGAGUUAUAAUUUCCAGAUUUAAUAAAAUCAACAGUUCGAUUUAUUUCAUACACUUCAACCAAAUCUCCUUCAAUUUUAACGGUUUCGCCAAUUUCUUUUUCUAGAAUUGCUUCUGAAUUAUCACUUAAAGGUACUGGAGCUGAUAAUUCAAAAGACAUAUUAUAGACGCGAAAAUUUAUAAUUGUUGCCUCCACUUGGUUCUGCGCAAAAAAAAGUUUGCUGAGAAAUGUAUUAAAAGAUACCAAUAGUUGGAUGAUAAGCAAUAUUGGAUUAUAAUUACUUUUGAUACCCUUACUGAUAAAUAAAUAGUAUGAAAAAGUGCCUUUACCGACUAUACUGUUUGACGAUUAAGAUUACAAGUGUUGUUCCCAAUGGUCGAAAUAUUACAUCUGCAGUGAGCAUAUAUACUCAAAUAAUUGUAUAAGUAAUCAAUGAAUAAAUUAAACAAAGAAUUAACUAAUAUAUGAAUGAACAUUUCAG